CUCGUAGUUGUCCAAUUCUAAAUGGAGGGGUGGUCUCCUCUCUCAGGAAUUACAGGCGAUUUGGACAUGCUUUACAUAUAUGAUAGAUGAAAGAGACCACAAGCCCGAACAGAGGGGGAAAUGAUGCCUAAAUGAAGACCUGAGAAAGCACAACAGCAUUGCUUAUCAGCUUGAGUGAUAUUCCACUGGGGUUAAAUGGACAUCAGGGUUCCUGCACUGGAAGAAACAGACAAAGGGCAGAAGGAACACCAUGAGCAGCAGGUCAAACAAAGACAUCAAGACAUUUAAUAAAGGUUCUUGGACAAUGGAAGCUGCAAAGAAUUGAAAGAAUGUUAUUUCAUAUUAAAGUAAUAGGAAUACAGGUUGACAGUUUCUCCUUGGCAGUUCUGAAAUCUAAAAAAGGCACUGGUUUCUGAGAGAAACAACAGGGACACAAAUAGAAGAGGUGUGCUUUGAGCAAUUCAUGGAACAAAGCUUCCCCACAUCAACCCAGAUGGAGUAGAACUGUAUGGUCCUGAUAAUACCAGAAUCUAAAGGACACAGGGGUCUAAAUAGUGUCUCAGAGAUCUCAUUAGCAGAGUAAGAUUGAGCAUUUCUGAAAUCUCUAUGGAGAACAUCAUUGUUGGGGAC
ensembl:lncRNA